rnacentral:rRNA from 1 species
UCAGCUCGUGUCGUGAGAUGUUCGGUUAAGUCCGCUAACGAGCGCAACCCUCGCUGUGUGUUACAAGUGUCACACGGUACUGCCGAUAUUAAGUCGGAGGAAGGUGGGGAUGACGUCAAGUCAGCAUGACCUUUAUAUCCAGGGCUACACACACGCUACAAUGGCCAGUACAAUGGGUUGCCAAGCCGCGAGGCGGAGCCAAUCCUAAAAAGCUGGCCUCAGUUCAGAUUGCAGUCUGCAACUCGACUGCAUGAAGUUGGAGUUGCUAGUAACCGCAGGUCAGCAAUACUGCGGUGAAUACGUUCCCGGGGAUU